rnacentral:lncRNA from 10 species
CGGGAGGCGGGGGAGGAAAGCGGCCGGCGAGCGCUGGCUGACAUUUUCCUGCCCGGAAGGAUGCAUGGCCCGGGGUCUCCUGCACCUGAGGGUGGGCGGGAGGCGGCCCCGCGGGUUGUGUUGCUGGAAAAAGGGGUCUCGAUCCAGACCCCAAGAGAGGGUUCUUGGGUCUACUUCAGGGAAGAAUUGGAGGCGAGUCACAGAGCGCAGUGAAGGAAGCAAGUUUAUUGGAAUCUACUCCGUUAGAGAGUGCAAGUCCUCAGACUGCAGGAGGAGGAACUCCCGUCCUUCGGUAGUGUCACUACUUAGAGGCAGCUGUGAGGAGCUGUGAUUAAUCGUGGAAUGUGCUGAUGUGCCCACUAAAGAGCUUUGCCCUUGGAGUCCAGGCUGGAGUGCAAUGAUGAAAUCUCAGCUGACUGCAACUUCUGCCUCCCGGGUUCAAGUGAUUCUCCUGCCUCAGCCUCCCAAGUAACUGAGAUUACAGGUGCCCACACCCGGGUAAUUUUUGUAUUUUUAGUAGAGACAGGGUUUCUCCAUGUCGGUCAGGCUGGUCUCGAACUCCUGACCUCAGGUGAUCCACCUACCUCAGCCUCCCAAAGUGCUGGGGUUACAGGCAUGAGCCACCGUGCCCGGCCACCAUUCUAAUUUCUUAAUCUUGUCUUCUUUCUCUGGCUUCAGUGGUAGAUAUUUAUUAACCAGUUUAAACAUGAGUCAUUAUUUAUAUCAAAUGUUUGGAUGUAUAACGUAAAAUGAACCUUAAUCUCUGUCAAAAAAGAUACUACUGGGAGCAUCGUUUGGCUGGGAGUCAAGAUGAGAUUGAGCUACUUUAUGGGUGUGGAAUGCCAAGUCAGAGAGAUUUGAAUAAGUAACACUUCAGCAAUAUGAGAUCUGGACAGCAUCCAGGAGCCAAGGUCCAAGAUGCUAAUAGGAGUGAUGUAGCUGUCCCUGAACAAAGGUUUGCCACAGUUUACGAGCCUCAGAGGUUAAGAUGCAAACCAGAACAAUGCUAUUGGAUGUGCAAUCCAUGAUGUUUCAUGGGGAGGUGGGUAGAUUUGGGCAACCUUGCCUUCAGUUUACUCCUACUAGCAUCAGGCUCUGUCCACCUGAUCAGCAGAGGCUAUAUGGUUCUAUUUUGUGAAAAGAUCAAGUUGGAAAUGGAGGAGUAGAGGAGAAGGUUGGAAAUCAGAAUCCUCCCACAUGUAUUCUUCCCUCCAUUGAGACAUUUUAUUUGUAUAUAUUUAUUCCUGAAAAAAAAAAAAAAAAAAGAGUCCCAGGAUUUUUUCUCCUGUGUUUUUGUCUUGUUUCUUCUCGGUCCAUGAUGCCAGUUGAGGUCAUCAGUACAGCGAAACCAAACUGGUGAGAUGGGAACAAAUUAUUCUGUCACUUUUCUAGAUCUUUUUAUUUAUUUUUUUAUUUAUUUUUUGAGAUGGAGUCUCGCUCUUGUUGCCCAGUCUGGAGUGCAAUGGCGAGCCUGGGUUCAAGACCAGCCUGGGUAACAUGGCGAAACCCCUUCUCUACCAAAAAAAUACAGUAUUUAGCUGGGCCUGGUGCAUGCCUGUAGUCCCAGCUACCUGAGAGGCUGAGGUGGGAAGAUCGCUUGAGCCCAGGAGGUCAAGGCUGCAAUGGGCUGAGAUCACGCCACUCCAGCCUAGGCAACAGAGUGAGGCCUUGUCAAAAAAAAAAAAGAGAGAGAGAGAGAUACAAGCCUUCAGAGACCCUCAUAUUAACUUCAUGGUAAAUCUGCCUCUGCUCACCCCUCCCACCUGUAGCAACUAAUAUCUUCAUUUCCAGAUUUACUCUGAAAAAACUGUGCAACUGCUUCACAUGUUUCCUCUUGAUUCACUAAUUUGUAACUCACUUACUGAAACUCUGAUGAAAGAAUUGAGUCAAAAAAUAAAUAGACCUCCUUCCCAGCCCUGGCUUGUUCAGAGCAUCUACUACAGAGGAGUCUUAAGGGUUUUGUAUGCUUAGAGUUGAGAGACCAAAUAGCUCCUGAAAACUGUAGCUAGAGGAAAUGCCAUAUGGAGACAGGCCACAAGGAGAACUCAAGCCCCUGUAAACCAAAAAUGAAAUAUUCUAAGCCCCCAAUUUACUAAACAGAUUCAACCUCCCACUUCAGCCUCCCAAAUAGCUGGGAUUACAGGCGCAUGCAACCAUGCCCGGCAAAUUUUUGUGUUUUUUGUAGAGAUGGGGUUUCGCCAUGUUGGCCAGGCUGGUCUUGAACUCCUGACUUCAAGUGAUCUGUCCACCUCACCCUCCCAAAGUGCUGGGAUUAGUGAGCCACUGCAACAGCCCUCUAACACUUAUUUCUGAAGUUUUUUUUCUUCCCUCCUUCUCGGAAGCCCCUUCCUCCCUCUCUUGUUGCCUUAAGGUACCUUCACCCUGGCUAGGCCCUAUUGUUCUUUUAUCGGUUUUUUGUUUGUUUCUUUAGCCUACAUAUGCUCUUCCACCUGGGUUAUACAAAUGCAAAGUACACCCUAGUUCCAUGCUGGGCCUUAUUAUUAACAAGAACUUUCUGAAUCUCUUAAGAUGUAGUGAAAGCAGAUAUACAUAAACUAUGUUGAACUAAACUGUAUUUUCUUUUUUUUAUUUCACUUUAAAAAUUUAUUUUCAUACCAAAAAAAUCAUUCAAAGACAGUAUUAAAAAGGAUGACAAAAUACAUAAAAUUGGCAGAU